CUUAAACAAAGUUAUCGGGAUAUCUGUGUGUGACUUCUAUCAUUGAUGUAACUGCAUUAUAAGCUUUUCUGGCCCAAUGGAUAUUGAGAAGAAGUUGAAAAUGCGAACAGUUUACAGACGGACGGCAACUACGAAGGUAUAAUCGGGAAAGCUCACUUCAGCUUUCAUCUAAGGCAUUUGUUGUCAAUAUAC